rnacentral:snRNA from 1 species
AUAAAAUUGAUAACGAUACAAAUAAGAUUAGCAUGGCCACCGCACUGGAACGAUGACACCCACAAAUCGAGAAAGGCCAAGUAAUUUUUUGCGAUUU